rnacentral:siRNA from 1 species
CUACAUCUUAGGUGGCGAUGAGA